GGGUGAGUAACACGUGGGUGAUCUGCCUUGCACUUCGGGAUAAGCUUGGGAAACUGGGUCUAAUACCGGAUAGGACAGCUGUUUAGUGUCAGUUGUGGAAAGUUUUUCGGUGCAAGAUGAGCUCGCGGCCUAUCAGCUUGUUGGUGGGGUAAUGGCCUACCAAGGCGUCGACGGGUAGCCGGCCUGAGAGGGUGUACGGCCACAUUGGGACUGAGAUACGGCCCAG
rnacentral:rRNA from 1 species